CGUAACUUCCAUAAACCUAUCACAAAGGAAGAAAUUGUCUCCUCUUUUCCCUCUCUAUCUAACAAAUGGAUGGAGUCUGAGAGGAAACCGCACAUUCCCCUUCGGGUUUUCAGGGGGAAUCGCACAAUUCUUAAAGGUCUGAACAUGUUUCGCUGUCCUCUGUUCUCGGUCAAACACACACCUGUGUGGUGGCAAUGGAUCGAGCUCUGCCAACCUCAGAAUCCUCCUCGCCGGAUCUCGAAGGGUUUCGCCAAGUCUGAAGUCGUGUCCGCAGAUACUUUGGGCAGAUACUCUGCUUCCUUCUUCUCUGAUUUCCUUUAUUAUCCAUACUUGUCAACUGCUUAACAGAAUGAGCGAAUAGAUUCUUCUCAAUCUGACUUUAUUCGAUGAGAGCAUGCAGAAUAGCAAAUACCAUUGUGACUGGGGUGCCGUCGAAAAUUACGUUGUUGGAAGAGAGAAGAGGAAGCAGCACCUUCUGAUGGUAUCUCAGCAUCAGAUUGACGGGCUUGAAGUUUGGGUGCAAACCACCAACUCAAAGGAAGGUGGUUUUCGGCUCGAUAAUCUCCAAUAGAUGGAUUGAAUAUGCAAGACCAACCUUCUCUGUGGAUCCUCAUAUUGCUUUGUCCUUAGCCUCAAGAUUCAGGACAAACCCUCAUUUGAAGGCAGAAGUAACUCGAGCUGAUUCAGGUUUGUGAAGUUUAUUUUACUGAAAAUAUAGUACGGAGAGACCUUAUAUAUGUUGCAAGUUAGUGUUGAACAUUGUCUACAUUGGACUAACAUUUCUUGAAUCCUAAGCAUGAGAUGACUUAAAAGCAAGUUUUCUUGAAGCGAGGGAGCCAUCUUAGCCAGUGUGGAACAUCAUAGACAUUGCACUUAGGGGCGUAACUGGACCAUGAUAAUGAUAAUUUAGAAGUUGACUCUUGCUUGGCCUGGGUAUCAGUAUUUUUCUUUAACUCAAACAUCAAAUGAUUUUCGGCAUGCUUGAUUGAUCCAACUAUUCUCGGGUUUUCUGUGAAUAUUGAUCUCAAGUUCAAGUUCGAACUUGAGUACAAAAAUUAUCAACUUAAAGGAAAAGUGAAGGCAAAAUCACUAUCUGAAUCCUGAUCAUUCAUGAAUUUAAUUUGAAAUCGAUUACAAAAUCUUACUAAAUCAGAUCAACAUCAUGAAGGGAUCUCUUAUGAUGCUCACGUAAGUGCACGUAAACUUGUCAGAGCAUUCAUAUAUAGGAAAGCCUACAACCAGACUGUGUACAACUGCAACUGAUUCACACUGAAAGCUUUAAAUUCCCUUAGCACAGCAAGCUCAGGAGGACCUCAACUUCCAUAAACAGAAUCUUCGUUGAGGAUGUGCAGCUCAAUGAGGAAAAGCAAAGAAUAGUAGUGGGGAUAUAUGACUUUUAACUUACAGGAUUCAGGAGGUAAUGAUCCGAACAUGUUAUCCUGAGCAUAUUAAUUUGCUCAUAGGAAAAAAGUUCAGUUUUUAUGGCAAAAGCAUAUCCUUGGUAAGAAAACCCAAAUAGGCCUUGCUAGUGUUGCCUGAUCUGAUAAAUAAGAAUGGUUGAGGAAUAGAGGGGGAAAAUCAUGUCAUCACGGGGAUUGAGAAAAAAGUGACAUAGAAGCUCACACUUUGAGUUGCUACAGCAGCAGAAGAAAGCUAUAGCUUGAAGCGAAAAGACAAUGGUUAAGUACUGGAGUACUUGAUUAAAUCCACAACCUACACAAGUCAUACAUCAGCAAGCUCGACCUUCACUAAUACGGGGGUAGUCAUCACUGAGUCACGACUUACCUUCCUCUUGAGUUUUUUGGCUCAUUUGUAGUGGGCAAGAAUUAUUUGGGCUGGCUACAGGGGUCCAUUUUUGGUUAUUCAGGUAACAUAACUAGUUUGAUGAUUGUGUUAGGCAGGUUGUUAUUAUUUUGUCAUAAACACGACUAGUAUGAACUCGACAUACUAAUUUGUAUUGUUUCAUUGUAUCGCUUAGGAAUUUAUUUUUCCUAACUCUAUUUCAUAAACCCAAGAGAGAGAGAGAGAGAGAGAGAGAAUGGAUGGGCGAUCCAUUGACGUUGACUUGUGAGACCAACUUACACCUAUACAAUUACAUCGAUUGCCUCAUGCACCUUAGCACAUGAUUGUAAAUUGGCAAGUUUUAGGACUAUGCCUCGACGUGCCAGGCAAUAUCUACUCUUCCAAUAAAAAAUUCUUAGAUAAACCUGAUGCAUGUAUGGCCAGUUCAUAGGUACUGUUGGAAGUAAUGAGCCCCAAUCUAAUGGUGCAUGUUCUUGGGGCUCACAUGUACCGAAUGCAGGCAAUACCUGCUCCUUUCCGACAUCCCUUCUCCUUUUUCCAAGCUGGUUUGAUUUGACAGAUGUUUUGUUUGCUUCUUCCAAAAUUUCGAUCAUGACAUCAGAAGCCAGAGUCAAUGGAGCAGAGGUGAAACCUUGCAAUUAGGACAAGAGCAACUUUUCCAUCACAGGCCCUCAAUUCUGCUUUGGUUUCAGGUUUGUCUGAUCCAGCAUUCGAUUCCGACAUCCCUAGCAGUUCCUUGAUUUCCUCAAAUUGCUUAACCUUGCUUGGCAUCAGAGGACUGGAGUCCAACAGCAAGGGCAGGAAAGGCUUCUCGCAAGCUACCCGAAGAAGAAGCCGGAGGCUUACAAAGAGAUCUCGCUUUGAGUUCCCUUAUCCAGUUAAAGAAGUAAACACGAUUGAUGGUAAAUUUAGGUGAGAUAUAUUUUUCGUCGGAGAAAAAGACAUGAUCUAU